rnacentral:lncRNA from 1 species
AAUUACAUAAUUAAAAUUUAAUUCAAUAAGUCCCAAAUAAUCCAAGCACAUAUUUGUCUUAAAAAAAACCCAAGGUAAUUACAGUGAAAUUUGCUACAAAUGGAAAUAAAUCCUAAAGACCAAAGUCAGGUAAUCAAAUUGAAAUCUCUUUGAACUGGGGCGCGCCUCCAACCUUGCUGUAUUACAACCUCCAACCUUGCUCCAACCUUGCUGUAUUACAGCUCACUUUUCCAUUCCAUCAAAGUCACUUCAUUCCUGUAACCUACAAAGAGAAAAAAUAGCUUAAAUAAAAAGUACUUUUCAGAAGCGCUUAAGAAACUGAAAAACAACAAAAUAAACUACUUGGCUCAAAGCUUUACCCAGCAGGUUAACAUGAAUACUCAAAAAAAGCAUUUUGACAAUAGCUUAUAACAGUAACAAAUUAUCAAAAAUAGAAUCCCAUAUAAUCUGGAGAAAAAAUGUACAACAGGAAGGAGUUUUUAAGACUUAAAUAACUCUUCAUAAAGGGAUUUAGAAGUUAACAAGAAGGACAGAACAAUUUUUCAAAAAAAACCAUACGAGAACAGAAUAAUUUUUUCAAAAAAAAACAUACGAGAACAGAGCAAUUUUUCACACAUCAAGAGCACAACAAUAUUUCUAAAAACCCUAAAAAACAAACACAGGACAACGGAGCAAACUGAGCAAUCUCUUUCAAACCCAGAACACAUAGCAGCAGUAUAUCUCAAAAAGACCCUAAAAGCAAAACAUAAAUACUUUUCUUGAAAUCCCAGAGAAAAUCUAAAACAACUUUCACGAAAACAGACAAAGAAGCAGGCUGAGGAAGAAAACUUACCUGAAACUGCGACGGGUUGCCGGCGACGGACUCAGAUCAAAGCGCUCCUUUUUUCCCCUGAAGCCACCACUCACCUCCUUCGCCGUGGUAAAUAUAACGAACCCCUUUUAUUUUUAAAUCGCAACAUGCAACGCUUUGAGUUUGGUUUGGGAAUUUCAGAGUCCGGAUUCGAAUUCGGGAGGUUGUAGGUAGUGGGUUAGGUCACGUUUUGGGUAGGGUUACCGGAGAUGGAUGGAGGCUCCGCCAUGAGCCACCGCCUCCGGUCGUCUUCUCCAAGAGAGAAGAAAAUUUUUAGGGUUUCGACAAAGCUCCUUCUGAGCGUAAGUUUGCAGAGAGAGACGUUUAGGUUGGAAAGUGAAGAGAGAAAGUGAAAAAAG